AGUCUCCACCUUACUGAAAAUUUCUCCUUGCAAACAGAUAUGACCAGAAGGCA
rfam:Gallus gallus finished cDNA, clone ChEST447e23